AUCUCUUUAGACAUAUCUAAUCAAAUUAGAACAAUACAGAGAGGAUUGGUACAGCUCUUGCACAAAUAUGACACACAUAUCAAGAGAUGGAUAAUCAAUUGUG
rnacentral:snRNA from 1 species